rnacentral:rRNA from 1 species
CUACGGGAGGCUGCAGUUAGGUAUAAUCUACAAUGCGCGCAAGCGUGAUAGUUUGAGCCAGAGUGAUUUUCAAACGAAAAUCUUUUGUGAAAUGUAAAAAGUUUUACGAAUAAGGACUGGGUAAGACUAGUGCCAGCCGCCGCGGUAAUACUAGCGGUCCAAGUCGCAGCCAUUUUUAUUGGGUCUAAAACAUCCGUAGCUUGCUUAAUAAGUCCCUUGUGAAAUUCUAUAUCUUAAGUAUGGAGCGUGCAAGGGGUACUGUUAAGCUAGAGACUGGUAGACGUGACGAGUACGUUUGGAGUAGCGGUAAAAUGUGUUAAUCCCAGACGGACUAACAAUAGCGAAGGCAUGUCACGAGAACAGUUCUGACAGUAAGGGAUGAAGGCUAGGGGCGCAAAACGGAUUAGAUACCCUGGUAGUC